GAUGAACGCUGGCGGCGUGCCUAACACAUGCAUGUCGAACGAAGCACCUUACCUGAUUCUUCGGAUGAAAGUUUGGUGACUGAGUGGCGGACGGGUGAGUAACGCGUGGGUAACCUGCCCUGUACAGGGGGAUAACAGCUGGAAACGGCUGCUAAUACCGCAUAAGCGCACGAGGAGACAUCUCCUUGUGUGAAAAACUCCGGUGGUACAGGAUGGGCCCGCGUCUGAUUAGCUGGUUGGCAGGGUAACGGCCUACCAAGGCAACGAUCAGUAGCCGGUCUGAGAGGAUGAACGGCCACAUUGGAACUGAGACACGGUCCAAACUCCUACGGGAGGCAGCAGUGGGGAAUAUUGCACAAUGGGGGAAACCCUGAUGCAGCAACGCCGCGUGAGUGAAGAAGUAUUUCGGUAUGUAAAGCUCUAUCAGCAGGGAAGAUAAUGACGGUACCUGACGAAGAAGCUCCGGCUAAAUACGUG
rnacentral:rRNA from 1 species